UCCCUCUUAGCUCAGCGGUAGAGCGCUUCACUAGUACACACGGUGGUGUUUGGUACAUGAAGAGGUCAGUCGUUCAAGUCGGCUAGAGGGAA